UACAGAGACUGCAAGCGUUAUUCGGAUUCACUGGGCGUAAAGGGCGCGCAGGCGGCCCUUGAAGUCAGGCGUGAAAGCCCCGGGCUCAACCUGGGAGGUGCGCUUGAUACUCGAGGGCUUGAGUGCGGGAGAGGAGAGUGGAAUUCCCAGUGUAGAGGUGAAAUUCGUAGAUAUUGGGAAGAACACCGGUGGCGAAGGCGGCGACCUGGUCCGAUACUGACGCUGAGGCGCGAAAGCGUGGGGAGCAAACAGG
rnacentral:rRNA from 1 species